GACGAACGCUGGCGGCGUGCUUAACACAUGCAAGUCGAACGGAAAGGCCCUGCUUUUGUGGGGUGCUCGAGUGGCGAACGGGUGAGUAACAUGUGAGUAACCUGCGCUUGACGUUGUGAUAACUGCAGGAAACUGGUGCUAAUACCGGAUAGGAGCGCCUGCUGGAGGGUGGGGGUCGGAAAUCUUCGUCGGUUGUGGAUGGACUUGCGGAUUAUCAGUUUGUUGGUUGGGUAGUGGCUUACGCAGGCUUUGACGGGUAGCCGGCAUGAGAGGGUGAACGGCGACAUUGGGACUGAGAUACGGACCAGAGUCCUACGUGAGGCAGCAGGCGGGAAUAUUGCACAAUGGGCGGAAGCCUGAUGCAGAAACGCCGCGUGCGGGAUGACGGCUUUCGGGGUGUAAACCGCUUUAGCCUGUGACGAAGCGUGAGUGACGGUAAUGGGUAAAGAAGCACCGGCUAACUACGUG
rnacentral:rRNA from 1 species